AUUGAACGCUGGCGGCAUGCUUUACACAUGCAAGUCGAACGGCAGCACAGGGAGCUUGCUCCUGGGUGGCGAGUGGCGAACGGGUGAGUAAUGUAUCGGAACGUGCCUGGUAGUGGGGGAUAACUACUCGAAAGAGUGGCUAAUACCGCAUGAGAUCUUUGGAUGAAAGCGGGGGACCUUCAGGCCUCGUGCUACUGGAGCGGCCGAUAUCAGAUUAGGUUGUUGGUGGGGUAAAGGCCUACCAAGCCUGCGAUCUGUAGCUGGUCUGAGAGGACGACCAGCCACACUGGGACUGAGACACGGCCCAGACUCCUACGGGAGGCAGCAGUGGGAAUUUUGGACAAUGGGCGCAAGCCUGAUCCAGCAAUGCCGCGUGCAGGACGAAGGCCUUCGGGUUGUAAACUGCUUUUGUACAGAACGAAAAGUCUCUGGCUAAUAUCUAGAGAUCAUGACGGUACUGUAAGAAUAAGCACCGGCUAACUACGUG
rnacentral:rRNA from 1 species